UACAGGGGGUGCAAACGUUGCUCGGAAUCAUUGGGCGUAAAGCGCACGUAGGCGGUUCGUUAUGUCGGAUGUGAAAGCCCUUGGCUUAACCGAGGAAGUGCAUCCGAAACUGGCGAGCUAGAGUACUAAAGAGGAUCGCGGAAUUCCCGGUGUAGAGGUGAAAUUCGUAGAUAUCGGGAGGAACACCGGUGGCGAAGGCGGCGAUCUGGGUCGGUAUUGACGCUGAGGCGCGAAAGCCAGGGGAGCAAACGGG
rnacentral:rRNA from 1 species